UGGGGAAUAUUGGGCAAUGGGCGGAAGCCUGACCCAGCGACGCCGCGUGAGGGAAGAAGGCCUUUGGGUCGUAAACCUCUGUUGUAUGGGAAGAAGGAAGUGACGGUACCAUACGAGGAAGUCCCGGCUAACUACGUGCCAGCAGCCGCGGUAAUACGUAGGGGACGAGCGUUGUCCGGAAUUACUGGGCGUAAAGGGCGCGCAGGCGGAUAUUUAAGUCAGCUGUUAAAGUCAUGGGCUCAACUCAUGGAUGCGGUUGAAACUGGGUAUCUAGAGUGCUGGAGAGGUAGGCGGAAUUCCCGGUGUAGCGGUGAAAUGCGUAGAUAUCGGGAAGAACACCAGUGGCGAAGGCGGCUUACUGGCCAGCAACUGACGCUGAGGCGCGAAAGCCAGGGGAGCGAACGGG
rnacentral:rRNA from 3 species